GGCCAGCGGGACCCAGGACGCUGCAGGCCUCCAGACGCAACGCGAGGGGUUCCCCUGGGACCAGCUCCUUCAGCGCCGGGGUUUCGGAGCUUGGGCCAAUAUUCCAGCGUCCUAAAUGUGUCAGGGAAACUGCCAGAAGCGGCGGAGCCGACAGCACGGUGCCGACGAGGACCACAGGCAGCUGAAGAAAUGGAAGUUCUGAGAAACUAAGGGGCUUCCCUGAUGCUUGCAGAUGAGGCAAGGACGGAUGGAGAAUCGGGCUUUGGACGCCACAGUGAUGAUCUCACAGUUCGUGAGUUUGAGCCCCACGUCAGACCUCGCGCUGACAGUGCAGAGCCUGCUUGGUAUUCUCUCUCUCCCUCCCUGUCUGCCCUUCCCCUCCCCUCUCAAAAUAAAUAACUAAACUUAA